rnacentral:rRNA from 1 species
GACGAACGCUGGCGGCGUGCUUAACACAUGCAAGUCGAGCGGUAAGGCCCUUUCGGGGGUACGACGAGCGGCGAACGGGUGAGUAACACGUGGGUGACCUGCCCUUACGCUCUGGGAGUAAGCCUGGGAAACGUAGGGUCGUAAUACCGGAUAUGACUCCAUGACGCAUGUUGUGGGGUGGAAAGCCUUGUGCGGCUAGGGA